GGAGUGGCAAGUUGGGUUGGUUCAAGCCGGCUUGUCUUAUUUUCUUUUUUUUUUUUGUUGGUAGAAAGAUAUAGAAGCCGACGGCCCCGACGAAGCGACUACGAAAGCUCUGGAUCGCUCGGCUGGCUCGAAGCUGACCGAGCCCAACGAUCGUACAGAAACUUUAAUAAAUAUAAUUCUGGCUAUUCUGACUAGACUGUUGUUGCUGUUCUUGCCCCCCGUGAUUAAUAAUAUUGCUGCGGAGCAGUCGUCGUCUUGGCAAAAUUGUUAACACUUCAGCUCGGAUCGGAUCGGAUCGUAUCGUAUCGGAUCGGUUGGAUCGUUCGGAUUGGCUUGAAUCGGCUUGGAUCGCUUUCGAUCGCCGCGAAUCGGGGGCAUGCGCAUAAGAUCGACGCUCUAGUACCGCCGGUCUUAUCAGACUAGAUUAAGCGGAUUUCACUCACACGAACGCACAGCACUCCAUAGUAUACCAUAUAAUUCAAAUCGUUUAAUGGCACGUAUAAUAAAACCAUAUCUCUGGGUAUUUGUUUUCGGGGCUGUGUGUGCUUUUGAGCUUUCAUUAAAUAAAUAGUUUUUAUUGCUUAUUUUUUUCACAGUUUAGAUGUAGAUUACCAAAAGUUGGGCACUCCGUUCCGGCGCCUCUUGGGAUGCAUGCAAAAAAGUGUUGAAAAAUAUUCGGAUUUGAAUAAUUAUGUUGGUUCUAACACUUUGAAAAUGUAGAAACAUUGUAAAAUAUGCAAUUAUUUUAUUUCAAAAUAUAAUUUAGCUAGACUAAAGAGAA